rnacentral:tRNA from 1 species
GGGCCUGUAGCUCAGCCGGUCAGAGCGGGGGACUCAUAAUCCCUUGGUCGCAGGUUCGAAUCCUGCCGGGCCCA